rnacentral:rRNA from 1 species
AUUGAACGCUGGCGGCAUGCCUUACACAUGCAAGUCGAACGGUAACAGGUCUUCGGAUGCUGACGAGUGGCGAACGGGUGAGUAAUACAUCGGAACGUGCCCGAUCGUGGGGGAUAACGCAGCGAAAGCUGUGCUAAUACCGCAUACGAUCUACGGAUGACAGCGGGGGAUCGCAAGACCUCGCGCGGGCGGAGCGGCCGAUGGCAGGUUAGGUAGUUGGUGGGAUAAAAGCUUACCAAGCCGACGAUCUGUAGCUGGUCUGAGAGGACGACGAGCCACACUGGGACUGAGACACGGCCCAGACUCCUACGGGAGGCAGCAGUGGGGAAUUUUGGACAAUGGGCGCAAGCCUGAUCCAGCCAUGCCGCGUGCAGGAUGAAGGCCUUCGGGUUGUAAACUGCUUUUGUACGGAACGAAAAAGCUCUCUCUAAUACAGGGGGUGAAUGACGGUACCGAAAGAAUAAGCACCGGCUAACUACGUG